rnacentral:pre_miRNA from 1 species
UGUUAAAAAUUUCAUCUAUUUGUAUUGUUAAAACCUAGUGCGGCUGACAGAAUAAUUAAACAGUGAUACAGAUGAGCCACAUGUACCACAUGCAAAUGUACAAUGAAUAGUUCUUAACAAUAUAAAUGGAUGAAAAUUUGGAUA